AGAGAGUUGCUCAUUCUUCCCAUUUUCCUCUUCGUCGACUCUUAAUCCGUAGGUUCGGGGUUCGAUUCCCCGGCGGUCCACCA
rnacentral:tRNA from 1 species